rnacentral:sRNA from 1 species
UGUUGAGAAAGGAGGGGCGCCCGGCGG